GCGUCCUUAGCUCAGUUGGAUAGAGCACUCGCCUUCUAAGCGAGCGGUCAGAGGUUCGAAUCCUCUAGGGCGGGCCA
rnacentral:tRNA from 1 species